rnacentral:piRNA from 1 species
CUGAUUCUGUGUUUACCGAG